CCCAGACUCCUACGGGAGGCAGCAGUGGGGAAUAUUGCACAAUGGGGGAAACCCUGAUGCAGCGACGCCGCGUGAGUGAAGAAGUAUCUCGGUACGUAAAGCUCUAUCAGCAGGGAAGAAAAUGACGGUACCUGACUAAGAAGCCCCGGCUAACUACGUGCCAGCAGCCGCGGUAAUACGUAGGGGGCAAGCGUUAUCCGGAUUUACUGGGUGUAAAGGGAGCGUAGACGGCAGCGCAAGUCUGGAGUGAAAUGCUGGGGCCCAACCCCGGAACUGCUUUGGAAACUGUGCAGCUCGAGUGCAGGAGAGGUAAGCGGAAUUCCUAGUGUAGCGGUGAAAUGCGUAGAUAUUAGGAGGAACACCAGUGGCGAAGGCGGCUUACUGGACGAAGACUGACGCUCAGGUGCGAAAGCGUGGGGAGCAAACAGGAUUAGAUACCCGUGUACU
rnacentral:rRNA from 1 species